rnacentral:rRNA from 1 species
GACAGAGGUGCCGAGCGUUAGGCGGAAUCACUGGGCUUAAAGCGUGUGUAGGCGGGUCCGUAAGUACCUUGUGGAAUCCCACGGCUCAACCGUGGAACUGCUUGGUAUACUGCGGGUCUUGAGCCACCUAGGGGCAAGCGGAACAAGCGGUGGAGCGGUGAAAUGCGUAGAUAUCGGGAGGAACGCCGGUGGCGAAAGCGACUGUCUGGGGUGCCUGUGACGCUGAGGCGCGAAAGCCAGGGGAUCAAACGGG